rnacentral:rRNA from 1 species
AAAUUUGAAAUCUGGCACCUUCGGUGUCCGAGUUGUAAUUUGAAGAAGGUAACUUUGGAGUUGGCUCUUGUCUAUGUUCCUUGGAACAGGACGUCACAGAGGGUGAGAAUCCCGUGCGAUGAGAUGUCCAACUCUAUGUAAAGUGCUUUCGAAGAGUCGAGUUGUUUGGGAAUGCAGCUCUAAGUGGGUGGUAAAUUCCAUCUAAAGCUAAAUAUUGGCGAGAGACCGAUAGCGAACAAGUACAGUGAUGGAAAGAUGAAAAGAACUUUGAAAAGAGAGUGAAAAAGUACGUGAAAUUGUUGAAAGGGAAGGGUUUGAGAUCAGACUUGGUAUUUUGUAUGUCUUGCUUUCGGGUGGGGCCUCUGCAGUUUACUGGGCCAGCAUCGGUUUGGACGGUAGGAUAAUGACAUUGGAAUGUGGCACUACUUCGGUGGUGUGUUAUAGACUUUGUUGAUACUGCCUGUCUAGACCGAGGACUGCGUCUUUGACUAGGAUGCUGGCAUAAUGAUCCUAAACC